GCUCAGAUUUGAAAUCUGGUCCCUCCGGGGGCCCGAGUUGUAAUCUGUAGGGGAUGCUUCGGAGUUGAACCCGGCCUAAGUUCCUUGGAACAGGACGUCGCAGAGGGUGAGAAUCCCGUACACGGCCGGUGGGCGUCUCCGUGCGAAGCUCCUCCAACGAGUCGAGUUGUUUGGGAAUGCAGCUCUAAAUGGGAGGUAAAUUUCUUCUAAAGCUAAAUACCGGCCAGAGACCGAUAGCGCACAAGUAGAGUGAUCGAAAGAUGAAAAGCACUUUGGAAAGAGAGUUAAAAAGUACGUGAAAUUGUUGAAAGGGAAGCGCUUGCACCCAGACUCGGCCGCCUCGGUUCAACCCUACCCGCGUAGGGCUCACUCCGUUGCGGUCGGGCCAGCAUCGGUUCAGGCGGUUGUUUAAAGACGCGGGGAAUGUGGCUCCUCUAGGGGAGUGUUAUAGCCCCGCGUGCAAUGCGACCUGCCUGGACCGAGGACCGCGCCUUGGCAAGGAUGCUGGCUUAAUGGUUGUAAGCGGCCCGUCUUGAAACACGGACCAAGGAGUCUAACAUCUAUGCGAGUGUUCGGGUGUCAAACCCCUACGCGCAAUGAAAGUGAACGGAGGUCGGAGCCCUCGGGCGCACGAUCGACCGAUCCUGAUGUCUUCGGAUGGAUUUGAGUAAGAGCAUAAAUGUUGGGACCCGAAAGAUGUGCGAACUAUGCUUGAGUAGGCCGAAGCCAGCGGAAACGCUGGUGGAGGGUCGCAGCGGUUCUGACGUGCAAAUCGAUCGUCAAACUUGAGUAUAGGGGCGAAAGACUAAUCGAGCCAUCUAGUAGCUGGUUCCUGCCGAAGUUUCCCUUAGGAUAGCAGUAACGUUUUCAGUUUUAUGAGGUAAAGCGAAUGAUUAAAGGCCUGGGGGUUGAAACAACCUUUACCUAUUCUCAAACUUUAAAUUUGUAAGAAGCC
rnacentral:rRNA from 1 species